rnacentral:rRNA from 1 species
AGGGUUUGAUCAUGGCUCAGAUUGAACGCUGGCGGCAGGCCUAACACAUGCAAGUUGAACGGUAACAGGAAGUGCUUGCACUUCGCUGACGAGUGGCGGACGGGUGAGUAAUGCUUGGGAACUUGCCUUUGCGAGGGGGAUAACAGUUGGAAACGACUGCUAAUACCGCAUAAUGUCUACGGACCAAACGGGGCUUCGGCUCCGGCGCAAAGAGAGGCCCAAGUGAGAUUAGCUAGUUGGUAAGGUAAAGGCUUACCAAGGCGACGAUCUCUAGCUGUUCUGAGAGGAAGAUCAGCCACACUGGGACUGAGACACGGCCCAGACUCCUACGGGAGGCAGCAGUGGGGAAUAUUGCACAAUGGGGGAAACCCUGAUGCAGCCAUGCCGCGUGUGUGAAGAAGGCCUUCGGGUUGUAAAGCACUUUCAGUUGUGAGGAAAAGUUAGUAGUUAAUACCUGCUAGCCGUGACGUUAACAACAGAAGAAGCACCGGCUAACUCCGUGCCAGCAGCCGCGGUAAUACGGAGGGUGCGAGCGUUAAUCGGAAUUACUGGGCGUAAAGCGCACGCAGGCGGUUUGUUAAGCUAGAUGUGAAAGCCCCGGGCUCAACCUGGGAUGGUCAUU